rnacentral:rRNA from 1 species
CCUACGGGAGGCAGCAGUGAGGAAUAUUGGUCAAUGGGCUUACGCCUGAACCAGCCAAGUCGCGUGAGGGAAGAAUGCCCUAUGGGUUGUAAACCUCUUUUGUCAGGGAGCAACGCCGGCUACGUGUAGCCGGACGGAGAGUACAUGAAGAAAAAGCAUCGGCUAACUCCGUGCCAGCAGCCGCGGUAAUACGGAGGAUGCGAGCGUUAUCCGGAUUUAUUGGGUUUAAAGGGUGCGUAGGCGGGAUGCCAAGUCAGCGGUAAAAUCGCGGGGCUCAACCUCGCUCAGCCGUUGAAACUGGCGUGCUUGAGUGGGCGAGAAGUAUGCGGAAUGCGUGGUGUAGCGGUGAAAUGCAUAGAUAUCACGCAGAACUCCGAUUGCGAAGGCAGCAUACCGGCGCCCAACUGACGCUGAAGCACGAAAGCGUGGGUAUCGAACAGGAUUAGAUACCCCAGUAGUC